CAUAAAUUUACUUCUCUUUCAAUCUCCAACGUAAAAACUGUCGCAGAGUUCCGGCCAAAUAAGGGCGUUGCAAUGGCGCUCCGCCAGUGGAUCGACGGCGAUGAGAGCGCCGCUGAGAUGCUUACUAGAGUCCUCAAAGAGCGAACCUCCUUGCUUGUUCCGCCUCUCCACAGAGUUCCUCUCCACGUCGGCAAUGUGGUCGAGCUUGUUGGACCCUCUGGUUCAGCCAAGACGCAGAUCUUAAUCCAGGCUGCAGUUAAUUGCAUUCUUCCCAAGGAGUGGAAUGGGAUCCGCUAUGGAGGCUUGGAGUGUUCAGUGGUGUUCAUUGACUUGGAUUGUCGUCUUGACAUCUCAAGGCUUUCCCAAGUUUUGAAGCUUCGAAUUUUGGAAGGAAAUGGCAACGGAGAUUGGGGAAAUUUUGAUGCACUAUAUACUACAUGCCUGAGAAGAUUCUUUUACAUCCGUUGCUAUGACAGUUUUGAAUUUCUUGCCACUCUCAAGACCAUGCACCAUAAACUUCAAAAAGAAAGAGAUGACCUUGGAAUUGGGUUGCGUCUACUCAUGAUCGACAGUAUUGGAGCUUAUCAUUGGGUUGAUCGUGUCUCUUCAUCCUUGCCUUUGUGGGGUUACAACAGGAAAGGCUUUUCUCUUGCAAAUAUGUUAGAAGCGGCAGUAGAAGAAAUUAAAAAGCUUUUGCUGGUGCAUCCGAGUAUUGUUAUUGCUUCAAAAGCUACCAUUUUUGGGGAUAGAUCUUCUGACAUAGUUAGACGUGAAAAAUCUUCAUCAGAGACGGAAUCAAGACAUGGGAAAUCCGAUGGUGGACAAGUUUUGUACCGUGAGUAUAUGCCUUCUGCAUGGCAGUCUUUUGUAACGCACAGAGUUUUUGUUCGAGGCUCAGACGAAUAUCUUACAGUGAGCAGUUGUGAGCAUCAAUCAAUAUAUUUUUCUGAAUGGCUUCUACCAUCCCUGGGUGUCCUCGAUAAAUUUAUUGUCAAAAAUGCUGGCAUCUUUAUGGUACCAUGAACUGCAUUUGUUUGAUAUGCCACUGACCAGUUCUUGGGCGUUCUUAUGAUUCCAGUUAACGUCUAGAAGUGGCGUUUUAAACUAUGGGUUCAAGGUUUAGGGUUGCGCACAGCUGAGGACUUAAUCGAAUAAGGGAAAAGUGGUUUGGUUCGUGGUUGGUUGGAUUGAGCUUCUCUUUCUUUCAUUUUUUUCAUUUUCAGUGUUUGAAUAAAUAGGUUCAGGAGAAUGAAUCUUUCAUCUUUCUCUUUUUCUUUCACCGAGUGAAAAAAUAAAGAGGAGAAAGAACCAAAUAGUUUAGAGCCGAAGGAGAGAAGCAGUGAGACCAAAACUUUCAAACAUCCAUAGUACACUCGUUACACUAUACUGAACAAGCCAACCUUACAAAAGAUAUUUAUUAUUUAUUUCUGAUUUUUCUUCGGUCAUC